UUAAUCGCCGUCCAAUUAAUGACGAGGAUAUAGGAAUCGAACUCGAAGGAGAGAGAGAGAGAGAGAGAGUUUUAACCAACUAGCAAUCUAAUUUUCGAACUAUCUUUAUCGAUAAUUAUCGUAGGACAACUGGAAUAUUUUAAUUUGUAAUUCAUGCGGAAAUGUAACUUGUGUUACCAGAAAACUGGUAAUGUUUUUAACGACGCCGUGUCAAAUACAGUCGUCAAACUGGCUGGUCGGCAAUUAACCGACGCUAAUAACCCAACGGUGGUGCUUCUAAUCGACUCUCAGCCUGGCAGACUCGAUCACCUCAUAUUACAUCAGAAAAUGGAAAAGAGAAACAAACUGGUCCACUAAUCACUUCCGAAACCAUUUACUUUCCGUCUACAUUCCGUGUUAUGUGUUCGGGUGUAAAAGGUAUAUUCUUUGAUGUGUUUUGUUUUUAAUCGAGCGUAGAGUAUGUUGUAAUUAUAAUAGAAAGUGGUGUCUGUAUGAUUACAACCCGAAUAAAAGGUGAGAACUUAAAAGUUUUCAUAAUUAUCUUCACUCCGAGUUACUAAUUACCACAUUGAUUAACGAAAUCAGACUUCGACAAAAUUAACCAAUAAAAUAAUAGCUAGGUCGAACACUAAUUUAA
rnacentral:lncRNA from 1 species